AAGUCGUAACAAGGUAACCGUAGGUGAACCUGCGGUUGGAUCAUUAUAAAAUGAUUACCUGGCUCUGUUGUUGGACUUUGUUCACCAGAGCCGGGUAUAAACAACCUGUGCACUGUAAUUGUUUCUUGGGUGUUACUUUAGCUAUUGCCAGUGCUUUGUGAUCGCAUUUCCUUAAUUGGGGUGCCUUUGCGUUAAUGGCUGGUAGUAGUUGAAGUUUCGCCCAGCUUAAAACCUUUUUAAAUUUGGCUGAGAAGUAAAUUGUUAAUAGCAAACAACUUUUGACAACGGAUCUCUUGGCUCUC
rnacentral:misc_RNA from 1 species